UACGUAGGGUGCAAGCGUUGUCCGGAAUUAUUGGGCGUAAAGAGCUCGUAGGCGGUCUGUUGCGUCGGCUGUGAAAACCCGGGGCUCAACCCCGGGCCUGCAGCCGAUACGGGCAGACUAGAGUUCGGCAGGGGAGACUGGAAUUCCUGGUGUAGCGGUGAAAUGCGCAGAUAUCAGGAGGAACACCGGUGGCGAAGGCGGGUCUCUGGGCCCGAUACUGACGCUGAGGAGCGAAAGCGUGGGGGAGCGAACAGG
rnacentral:rRNA from 1 species